AGGUGGUAGCAAAAUUACAGUCAGGUGGUGUUAUGACACUCCUUUGAGAAGUGUUGGAGAUUUUAUAGUUAUUUCCUCUCAAGUGCCUCCUCCUCUUCACAUAUACAUUCCAUGUCCUUGGCAUCUUCAAGAAGAAGUGGAGCCAGCACAAACUGAUGAGGGGUCCUCAGUCCUACGCUGCAACCACUUUCUCGUACAUGAAGUCCAGCAUGGCAGAUGGAAAUACCACGGUGACAAAUUACGGAACUACCAUCGAGGGUGAUGAUGUCUAAGUUUCUCCUUCAAUGGAACUUUUGGGAGUUCUUGCUCAUUGAAAUCCAAAGGACUGUGGAUGCUGUAUGCUGCUGUACGAACAAUUGAACCAUAAACAGUGCCAUAACUGAUGAUUUUGUCGAUGAAUUGUUGAUAUUUGAGUGUUACUGACAUACUGCUUGACGCCAUUUAGAACUAUUUACGUGGGCCAGGUAAACUCAGCUAAAAAAAUAUUUCAAUCAAAUCAUG